GGCUAUAAAUGAAACAAAUUUAUAAAAUUGAUUAUAAUUGACUAAAACUAAAAAGUUUUAGAUUGUUUAAUUAUUAAAGUUAUGCUAGUUAGCAAUAACAUAUAAAAAAUUGUAUUUUUGUUACGUCAGCAAGAACAUAAAAUUCCAUGCCAUGUCAUCUAUUACGUCAGCAACAAUAUAUUAAAAAAAUAACAUUUUUGCCACAUCAGUGCCUUUAAAUCCUCAAUUUUGACCGAGCCAUAAUAAAUACUAAACUUUCAAAUUAAGCCAAAAUUGACUCAAGAAAAAGUUUUGGCUAUAAUGAGACUGAGCUUUGUGUAGUGCAAAGCAAUAUAUGGACAUAUCAUAGAGCAAAGAGAUAUUAGAUAUUGUGAACCAUCAGAAGAUUAUAUAACGUCUCCAAAAUAUGAGGGACUUGUAAAGGAUGAUUGUAAAGAGC
rnacentral:misc_RNA from 1 species